rnacentral:RNase_P_RNA from 1 species
AGUAAGCCAGAUGGCCGCUGCCGCAUGGCACGAAAGGGUGCGGGAGAGGAAAGUCCGGGCUUCACAGGGCAGGAUGCCAGAUAACGUCUGGCGAAGGCGACUUCAGGGACAGUGCAACAGAAAUAAACCGCCGCCAGUUCUGGCGGUAAGGGUGGAAAGGCGGUGUAAGAGACCACCGCCCGGCUGGCAACAGACGGGGCACAUGUAAACCCCAUCCGAAGCAAGACCGAGCAGGAGGCAUAUGGCGGCCCGUCAGCCUCCGGGUAGGUUGCUUGAGGCUGCCGGCGACGGCAGUCCUAGAUAGAUGGCCAUCCAACGACAUAACCCGGCUUACCGGCUUACUCG